rnacentral:lncRNA from 1 species
GGAACACCGCUUAUAAUUAUAUAUAUAGGCAGGGUGAUAUAGUUUCACUUCACUCAAAGACUAAAAAACAUGGCCUCCAGGUCUUCAGGCAAUCUUGCUUUGUUCACUGUCCUCCUCAUGUUUACCAUUGGUUGGUACACACUCUCUCUCUCUCUCUAUCUCUUUUUCGAUUCGAAAUGAAGUGUAUGAUAAAUUUUGCAAUCAAUCUUUGCAGUUGCAUUGGCUCGAAUGGUAAAGGCAGAUACCGUAGAAGAAGUAGUUGCAGGUGAAGGAGCAGCAGCAACAAUUGAACUAGUGAGAAGUAAGCUGCUUCCACAAGCAGGUAGAUGCCCAAGAUUUUCUUGUCAGACUCACAAUGAUUGCUAUAUGAGGGGUUGCCCUGCUUGUUCUUCUGGUGGUUACUGUCUCAACCGCUAAUUAAUUGGACAAAGUUGUGUAACAUUUAGGGGGAGAGUUUUAGACUGGUAUUUACACAUACCCUCAGUGUUGUUUUCUUUCGAAUAAAUGAAAUAUCUCCUUGUAUCAAGAGGCUUCCUUUCUUUGUUCAUGUUGUCUCUCCUGCACUUGUUCAUGGAUGUAUCUUUUGUUUUUGGCUAAUUUAGCUAUUUUAUCGCAAUUUAUG